AUGAGCAUCCUUGAGUGCCUGCUCCCCGCGAUGCUCAGCAUCUGCAAUGGCGGCCUCCAGGGAAGCCCUCUGGCCUUUGAGGCCCUCGAUCUCAGCCUGAAGCCAGCUGAUGUUCUGGUUCCUCUCGGAGAUCUCAGUCUUCAUAUGCCGCAGGUCAUCCCUGUGCUUACCAGGCAGCAUCUGCAGCUCCUCAUACUUGAUCUGGUACAUGCUCUCCGCCUCAGCCCGGCUGUGGUUGGCGAUCUCCUCGUACUGCGCCUUGACCUCAGCGAUGGUGCUGUCCAUGUCCAGGGAGCGGCUGUUGUCCAUGGACAGCACCACAGACGUGUCAGAGAUCUGGGACUGCAGCUCCCGGAUCUCCUCUUCAUACAGCUGCCUGAGGAAGUUGAUCUCAUCAGUCAGUCCUUCCAGGUGAGACUCCAGCUCUACCUUGUUCAUGUAAGCUUCAUCCACAUCCUUCUUGAUGAGGACAAAUUCAUUCUCCAUCUCUGUGCGCUUAUUGAUCUCUUCCUCAUACUUGUUCUUGAAGUCCUCCACCAGCCCCUGCAUGUUGCCAAGCUCCGCCUCCAGCUUCAGCUUCUCCUGGCCCAGAGUCUCCAGCUGCCGCCUCAGGUUGUUGAUGUAGUUCUCAAACAUGUUGUCCAUGUUGCUCCUAGCCGUUUUCUGCUGCUGCAGGAGGCUCCAGUUGGUCUCCAGCAUCUUGUUCUGCUGCUCCAGGAACUGCAGCUUGUCGAUGAAGGAAGCAAACUUGUUGUUGAGGGUCUUGAUCUGCUCCUUCUCCUGGGUACACAUGGCCUGGAUGUUGGGGUCCACAUCCACUUUAAUGGGGUUCAGCAAGCUCUGGUUGAUGGUGGCGGCGGUGAUGCCUCCCAUGCCUAUGCUGCUGGCCCCAGCAUAGCCUGCACCCAGGCCACCCCGGAAGCCACUGCUGCUCAUUCGGGAGAAGCUCGAGGAGCUCAAGCAGGCACUGGGCCCACUUGUGAAGGAGCGGCUGCUGAAGGCCCCGGGGCCAGAGGUGGAUACCUUAUAGGACUUCUGGGUCACCCUGAUGGACAUGGUGGAGGCAAGAGUGGAGGCAGGCGGGCUGAACCAGGGAGAGAUUCCAGAAGGAGCGGAGAAGCUGCUGCUUCUAGUACCUUUAUUUUUAAAUUUUUUAUAUUUAAAUAUUUGAUUCUUUGGAUUAUCCUGACAUAA
rnacentral:lncRNA from 1 species